rnacentral:rRNA from 1 species
UACGUAGGGUGCGAGCGUUGUUCGGAAUUAUUGGGCGUAAAGAGCUUGUAGGCGGUUUGUCGCGUCUGCUGUGAAAAUCCGGGGCUCAACCCCGGACUUGCAGUGGGUACGGGCAGACUAGAGUGUGGUAGGGGAGACUGGAAUUCCCGGUGUAGCGGUGAAAUGCGCAGAUAUCGGGAAGAACACCCGUGGCGAAGGCGGCUCUCUGGGACGGUACUGACGCUGAGACGCGAAAGCGUGGGGAGCGAACAGG